GGAAACAAGACUUAUGGCGGAAUGACUGAUUAUCUUAUUACAGUUCAAAACCAGAUUUAAUGGGGCAUCAGGGUUUCAAUGUCAAGCUAACUGGAGAGCAUGUAAUUUGUGGAUCAAUUUAAUGGAAAACUGUUUUAAUAUUCAGGACUAAAUUUUUUAUUUACAUCCAUCAUCGGAGGGAGUUUAUACCUCACAAGAAAUUACCUUAGACAGGUCAAGAGUCUUGGUAAGACCGCAGUAAAUUAGAACAAGUUCAAAGAACAUUCAUAAACUUUUGCAAUUUUAUAUUUGGGCAACAUCAAUAUCUAAAUAUGUAACAGAAAAGUCUGGAAAAUUAUGGAAUACACAGUCCAUAAGUUUUCUGAAUCAACUUUUAUCUUCUGAGCAAUGUUAUGCAUGCAUUGGAGCAGGAUGUAGGUUAGAUUAUAAUAUUUGUUGUUAUGUGAAUUUUGUAUUUUACAUUUGCCAAGUAUUACAAGUAUUUAGAUUGUUAAUCUCUAUACUAGAUGACUAUUUCAAGUUAUUUUUUCUAGUAGUAAAUAAUCCUUGAGCAAAUAAAUAAUGUUGUCGGGUUUCCCUCAUUUUAUAUUUGUUGACUUAACAGACAUUAGUAUAUAUUUCUAAUAUUAUGUUAAUUCAGAUACAUAUAACUCUCUCUAUUCUAUCAUAAUGAACCUGACAAAAGGACGACCAAUCCUAUGUGAUGUGAUCCAAGCGAGACAGAACAGUGAAAGGAUAUACCAAGGGAGUUUUAACUGCACAAAAAAUUAUGUUGGACAUAUUCAGAUCAUCAGCAAACAUCCAUUUCGAGAGGUCUAAGUGAUAUCAUUGGGAAUAAGCAAGAAUAAAAGUGGCAUAGUGAAUUUGUUGUGACAUUUUAAAUAUAUGCAUUGUGUCAAAGGCAUUGGAGGAGUCAGUAAAGAUAGAAUCCUCUUAGUAGAAACAUAUUAACUCAAAAAAUUAAAACUAAAUAAACGGUAUCAGUAAGAACAUUCACAAUAUUUAAACGUUUAUAUAUUGUGAUUGUUAUGUUCUCGCCAAAAGUACCAAUCAGAUUAAAGACAUUAAUUGAACCUGUAGAUUUAGAGUCUUUAUUUAUAAUAAUUUUAACCUAGAAGAAUUAGUUUUAUAUACAAUUAUUAAUAAAGUAUGGCUAUAAUGAU